UCCGGGGGAAGCUCACCGCCGAGGCCACCACGGGGUGCGCGUCACCCAAGCCCCGCCUCGGGGAAGGUCUGAGGGAAGGGCCGUCCGCGGCUCCAGCAGAGCCCCGCCCGCGAGGGGCGGGUGAGCCACCAGCAAGGGGGGGCGCCGCGCUCCGGGCCGGCCUGGGCAGGAGAAGCCGAGCAGGUGACGCCGAGGGUCGGUCACUCGCCCUCGCGGAACCCCGGCGGAUGCUCGUGGCCCCGCGGUGCUUUGAGACAGACUCACGGCCGGCGAUCGCUGAGUCCAAUGGGUGAGGUGGGGCACUGCCCUACAACCCAAUUCAGACUACUCUCCCCCGGA
rnacentral:RNase_P_RNA from 2 species